rnacentral:pre_miRNA from 1 species
UCUUAUAGAUGAGCAAAGGAAGUGGUUUCUGAGAUGGAAUCUAUUCCUGGUGCAGAUGCUGUGAA